GCCCGAUUAGCUCAGCUGGUUAGAGCGUCGUACUAAUAUCUCUUCUUCCAAGAAAUAUCAAGUGAUGCGAAGGUCAACAGUUCAAUCCUGUUAUUGGGCA